GAAGAAACUCCAGAUUCCUAGACUCCUCCUGUAGCUGGGAAGAAAUAGAACCCAGGCGUUCUGAUGUGCGGUGCCAGGUUCUUCUGGUGGAGUCCGGAGGUGGAAUUCAGAAGCCCGGGGGAUCUCUACGCCUCUCCUGCAAAGCCUCCAGGUUCACCUUCACCAGCUACCACAUGAGCUGGGUCCAUCAGGUGCCCGGGAAGGGCCUGGAGUGGGUAUCACGCAUAUACAACACUGCUAAUAGCCACAGUACGUUUUACAGUGAUGCGGUUAAAGGGCGAUUCACCAUCUCCAGAGACGACUACAACAGCACAGUGUAUCUGCAAAUGAACAGCCUGAAAGCAGAAGACAUCGCCCGGUAUUACUGUGCGAGAGACACAGUGAUCAGAAAUCAACUGCAGUGA